rnacentral:tRNA from 1 species
GGAGCGGUAGUUCAGUUGGUUAGAAUACCUGCCUGUCACGCAGGGGGUCGCGGGCUCGAGCCCCGUCCGUUCCG